CCUACGGGAGGCAGCAGUAAGGAAUCUUCCACAAUGGACGAAAGUCUGAUGGAGCAACGCCGCGUGCAGGAUGAAGGCUUUCGGGUCGUAAACUGCUUUUAUAUGGGAAGAUUAUGACGGUACCAUAUGAAUAAGGACCGGCUAACUACGUGCCAGCAGCCGCGGUAAUACGUAGGGUCCAAGCGAUAUCCGGAAUUACUGGGCGUAAAGCGUGUGUAGGUGGAUUAAUAAGUGUGAUGCGAAAUCCGGCGGCUCAACCGUUUGGACUGUGUCGCAUACUGUUAGUCUAGAGGACGGCAGAGGUAAGUGGAAUUACGGGUGUAGCAGUGAAAUGCGUAGAUAUCCGUAGGAACACCAAUGGCGAAGGCAGCUUACUGGGCCACACCUGACACUGAGACACGAAAGCGUGGGGAGCGAACAGGAUUAGAUACCCUGGUAGUCCACGCCGUAAACGAUGCAUACUAUUAGUAUGGGGUAUCGACCCCCUGUGCUGAGAAGCUAACGCGAUAAGUAUGCCGCCUGGGGAGUACGAGCGCAGCUUAAAACUCAAAGGAAUUGACGG
rnacentral:rRNA from 1 species